rnacentral:rRNA from 1 species
CAGCCGUAAACGAUACUCGCUAGGUGUCGGCCACGGUGCGACCGUUGUCGGUGCCGUAGGGAAGCCGUGAAGCGAGCCACCUGGGAAGUACGGCCGCAAGGCUGAAACUUAAAGGAAUUGGCGGGGGAGCACCACAACGGGUGGAGCUUGCGGUUUAAUUGGAUUCAACGCCGGAAAUCUUACCGGGACCGACAGCAACAUGAAGGCCAAGCUGAAGACUUUGCCGAAUUAGCUGAGAGGAGGUGCAUGGCGUAGUCGUGU